ensembl:misc_RNA Metazoa_SRP Metazoan signal recognition particle RNA
GCUAGGUGUGGUGGUGGUGCACACCUGUAGUCCCAGCUACUUGGGAGGCUGAGGCAGGAGGAUUGCUUGAGCCCAGGCAUUUGAGGCUGCAGUGAGCCAUGAUCGUGCCACCGCACUCCAGCCUGGGUGACAGAGCAAGACCUUGUCUCAA